AUGCAUGUCUAUGCACACGCCCUUGAAUGGUGAAGCCGCGAAAAGCUCAUUACAACAGCCAUAGUUUAUUGGAUGUUUACGUUCCUACAAGGACACCUGCGGUAAUUCUAGGAGCUAAUACUUGCGAAAUGCGACAACCUCACGGGAGUCGUGCAUUUAUUAGAUUAAACCAAUCGGUCCUUCGGGACCGCCAUUUGGUGAACCCUGAAUAACUUAGCUGAUCGCACAGUCUCGUACUGGCGACAAAUCUUUCAAGUGUCUGCCUUAUCAACUUUCGAUGGUAGUUUAUACGACUACCAUGGUUGUAACGGGUAACGGAGAAUAAGGGUUCGACUCCGGAGAGGGAGCCUGAGAAACGGCUACCACAUCCAAGGAAGGCAGCAGGCGCGCAAAUUACCCACUCGCAGAACGCGGAGGUAGUGACGAAAAAUAACGAGGUGGCUCUCUAUGAGGUCCAUCAUCGGAAUGGGUACAAUUUAAAUCCUUUAACGAGGAUCUAUUGGAGGGCAAGUCUGGUGCCAGCAGCCGCGGUAAUUCCAGCUCCAAUAGCGUAUACUAAAGUUGUUGCGGUUAAAAAGCUCGUAGUUGGAUCUGCGCUCGGUGAAAGCGGUCGCCCGAUGGGUUGUUACUGCUUCUCCCGGGCUAACCAUUCGGUUUUCCCUUGAUGCUCUUAACUGAGUGUCCUGGGUGACCGGAACGUUUACUUCGAAAAAAUUAGAGUGCUCAAAGCAGGCGAUUUGCCAGAAUAUUCGUGCAUGGAAUAAUAAAAGAGGUCCUUGUAGCCUUUUAUUGGUUAUCGCUACGAGGAAAUGAUCGAAGGGGACAGACGGGGGCAUUUGUAUUGCGACGUUAGAGGUGAAAUUCUUGGAUCGUCGCAAGACAGACUACUGGGAAAGCAUUUGCCAAGAAUG
rnacentral:rRNA from 1 species